CCCACUAUCCACAAGAACAAGCCAGGACCAAGGCCGGACACAGCACUAAAGAGAGGCCAACACUUGUCGCCGGCGAGGGGGGCAAUGACCACCUCAAGCAUCAUCCAUGUCAGCCUGACAUGCUGCAGGUCCAUCUUCCUCGUGCCCGUGUUGGCGGAAGGAUGCAACGCCCAUCAGCGGCGCCAUUCGUCUCCUGCCAACCAUCACCAAACCUCAACUUAGCCACACGCUGCAGCAGCCCUCCGCUGACUUGAUGGAGUCGGACAAGAGCGUGAUGCUGGCGAGCGGUGACAAUGAAGUUAUGCUCUACCUCAAGCAAGGAUUUCCAGGCAUGCCUCCCUUUCCCAUUGCCCUAUCGAGAGAAAUCUUUAUUGUGCAAGAAGAGAUAUCUCUCUUGGUAUUUAACUUCAUAGAAAGAGUCUGAAUCGAUAAAUGAGUUUGGUGGAAAGGAGAAUACUAGGAAGGAGAAAUGGGGAGCAGAAGACAACAAAGAUGGACCAAGAACAAACCAAGCUUCUGCCUGCACCAGUUGGAGACAGUGAAGACUCUACUGCAUUGUUGCCUCGGCGGAGAUGAGCCUUUCGGUGGAUGCCGGUGUGCUCGGCGUCCAAGUGAACGGGAAGAAGGUCGUUGUCAGGCCUUCAUCAUGGACACUGCCGCGGCUGCAGAAUCGAAGUAGUGUUGUAGGGCACAUUCAAGAUAUCCGACAGCGGAGGUGCAAAUGCUGAGAGGGGCGACGGGCUUCGAAGCUACUCCGGCUCAUUCGGUGCGUCCGUGCGUGGUGCUUCCGUCUUGCGGAAUUUCACAAAAUCUCUCACGGAGAUUGUUGCCCAUAGCUGCUGAGAUGGUAAUCCCAUCGAGAUAUGGCCGAGGGGACCUGACAUGCGACCUAGCUUAAAAAGGGUUGUGAUGCAGCAGAAUUUGUGGGGCAUUGAUAAUGGACUCAAUGUUUGUGGUAUUAGUUAACAUGUAUGAUGAAUUAAGAUGAGGUUAUGAGCCUUUUAGAUGGGUGGGAGGGAGUAAAUUGAUUCUAUUGUGCCGCUGAAGGUCGGUGAUUGAAUGAAGAAACAAGCCAUAUAUACUUGUUUUGUUGUACAGAUACCAUAUCAAAUAAGGUAGAAUUUUGAAUCAGAAAGAUAAGAUAGCAUUUUGAAUUUCUUUAA